UGACCAUAAACGAUGUCAACUAAGGAUUGGAUAAGAAAUUUCUGAAGUAUGGGAUUCUACUAUCCAAUGACGACAGUCAGCGGAUUCUGAUUCUCGCUUCAAUUCUUCCCUUAUUCAGGACUUGAUGAGAAAUCAUUAAGUGAAUGGACUUCAGGGGGAGUAUGGUCACAAGGCUGAAACUUAAAGGAAUUGACGGAAGGGCACACCAGGAGUGGAGCCUGCGGCUUAAUUUGACUCAACACGG
rnacentral:rRNA from 1 species